rnacentral:rRNA from 1 species
CUGCAUGGCUGUCGUCAGCUCGUGUCGUGAGAUGUUCGGGUUAAGUACCCGCAACGAGCGCAACCCUCGCAUCCAGUUGCCAUCGGGCGAGCCGGGCACUCUGGAGGGACUGCCGGCGACAAGCCGGAGGAAGUGGGGGAUGACGUCAAGUCAUCAUGGCCCUUAUGUCCAGGGCGACACACGUGCUACAAUGGCCGGCACAGCGGGAAGCGGAGGGGCGACCCUGAGCGGAUCCCCUGAAAGCCGGUCCCAGUUCGGAUUGCAGUCUGCAACUCGACUGCAUGAAGUUGGAAUCGCUAGUAAUCGCGGAUCAGCCAAGCCGCGGUGAAUACGUUCCCGGGCCUU